rnacentral:lncRNA from 1 species
UAGAAGAUUAUGAUUAUUAUUUAUUGAAAGUUGUGUGUGUGUUUCGACAGAAGAAGUCUAUGAUUACAGAAAUUCUGUGAAUCCAGAUUAGUUGGAGUGAAGUCUGUUAUUCCUGGUAUUGGAUGGAAAUUAUUGUAUUUUGAUCAGUCUUUUAAGAAUGCAGGGUUGCACAUUGUGGUUAUCAGUUGAUGAAAGAAUAUUGUUAGUGAGAGAAAGCAUU